AGCGUAUACGGUGGAUGCCUUGGCAGUUAGAGGCGAUGAAGGACGUGUAAGUCUGCGAAAAGCUGUGGUGAGCCGACAAAAUGCAUUUGAGCCACAGAUGUCCGAAUGGGGAAACCCACCUGUUUACAGGUAUCGUUACGUGAAUACAUAGCGUAACGAGGCGAACGAGGGGAACUGAAACAUCUAAGUACCCUUAGGAAAAGAAAUCAAACGAGAUUCCCCUAGUAGCGGCGAGCGAACGGGGAACAGCCCUUAAGCUGUUUAGUGUGUAGUGGAAUCCUUUGGGAAGAGGAGCGAUACAGGGUGAUAGCCCCGUACACAAAGCGUGCUUUACAGUGAAAUCGAGUAGGUCGGGACACGUGUUAUCUUGACUGAAUAUGGGGGGACCAUCCUCCAAGGCUAAAUACUCCUAACUGACCGAUAGUGAACCAGUACCGUGAGGGAAAGGCGAAAAGAACCCCUGUGAGGGGAGUGAAAUAGAACCUGAAACCGUAUACGUACAAGCAGUGGGAGCCCUUCGGGGUGACUGCGUACCUUUUGUAUAAUGGGUCAGCGACUUAUAUUUAGUAGCAAGGUUAAGCGAAUAGCGGAGCCGUAGCGAAAGCGAGUGUUAACUGCGCGUUUAGUUGCUAGGUAUAGACCCGAAACCCGGUGAUCUAGCCAUGAGCAGGUUGAAGGUUGAGUAACAUCAACUGGAGGACCGAACCCACUGACGUUGAAAAGUCAGGGGAUGACUUGUGGCUGGGGGUGAAAGGCCAAUCAAACCGGGAGAUAGCUGGUUCUCCCCGAAAUCUAUUUAGGUAGAGCCUCGGACGAAUUCCAUUGGGGGUAGAGCACUGUUAAGGCUAGGGGGUCAUCCCGACUUACCAACCCUUUGCAAACUCCGAAUACCAAUGAGAACUAUCCGGGAGACACACGGCGGGUGCUAACGUCCGUCGUGGAGAGGGAAACAACCCAGACCGCCAGCUAAGGUCCCAAAAUAUUGCUAAGUGGGAAACGAUGUGGGAAGGCACAGACAGCUAGGAGGUUGGCUUAGAAGCAGCCACCCUUUAAAGAAAGCGUAAUAGCUCACUAGUCGAGUCGGCCUGCGCGGAAGAUGUAACGGGGCUAAGCAAUAUACCGAAGCUGCGGCAGCAUGUUUACAUGCUGGGUAGGGGAGCGUUGUGUAAGUGGAUGAAGGUGAGUUGUAAAGCUUGCUGGACAUAUCACAAGUGCGAAUGCUGACAUGAGUAACGAUAAUGGGAGUGAAAAACUCCCACGCCGGAAGACCAAGGUUUCCUGUCCCAUGCUAAUCAGGGCAGGGUAAGUCGGCCCCUAAGGCGAGGCAGAAAUGCGUAGUCGAUGGGAAACGGAUUAAUAUUUCCGUACUUAUAUAAUCAGUGAUGGAGGGACGGAGAAGGCUAGGCAAGCUUGGCGUUGGUUGUCCAAGUGAAAGUGCGUAGGCUGAAAACUUAGGUAAAUCCGGGUUUUCAAGGCCGAGACACGAGACGAGCUCCCAAGGGAGUGAAGUUGUUGAUGCCCUGCUUCCAGGAAAAGCUUCUAAACUUAUGAUUAUAUGAACCGUACCCCAAACCGACACAGGUGGUCAGGUAGAGAAUACUAAGGCGCUUGAGAGAACUCGGGUGAAGGAACUCGGCAAAAUUGUACCGUAACUUCGGGAGAAGGUACGCCUCUGUUUGUGAACACUUUACGUGGUAAGCAAAUGGAGGCCGCAGUGACCAGGUGGCUGGGACUGUUUAUUAAAAACACAGCACUCUGCAAACUCGUAAGAGGACGUAUAGGGUGUGACACCUGCCCGGUGCCGGAAGGUUAAUUGAUGGGGUUAGUUUUCGGACGAAGCUCUUGAUCGAAGCCCCGGUAAACGGCGGCCGUAACUAUAACGGUCCUAAGGUAGCGAAAUUCCUUGUCGGGUAAGUUCCGACCUGCACGAAUGGUGUAACCAUGGCCACGCUGUCUCCACCCGAGACUCAGUGAAAUUGAAAUCGCAGUGAAGAUGCUGUGUACCCGCACCUAGACGGAAAGACCCCGUGAACCUUUACUACAGCUUGGCACUGAACAUUGAACCUACAUGUGUAGGAUAGGUGGGAGGCUUUGAAGCACAGUCGCUAGAUUGUGUGGAGCCGUCCUUGAAAUACCACCCUUGUAUGUUUGAUGUUCUAACAUUGGUCCCUUAUCGGGAUUGUGGACAGUGUCUGGUGGGUAGUUUGACUGGGGCGGUCUCCUCCCAAAUAGUAACGGAGGAGCACGAAGGUUAGCUAAUCACGGUCGG
rnacentral:rRNA from 1 species